GGACAGAAAGACCCUAUGAAGCUUGACUGGACUCUGGAAUUGAGUUCGGGCUUUUCUUGCGCAGUCUAGGUGGGAGGCGUUGAAGAUUUCCUUCCGGGGAAGUUGGAGCCAUCAGUGAGAGACCACUCUGGGAAGGCUAGAAUUCUAAUGGUGUUCCUUAUAUCAGGACACUUGACAGUUUCAGAUUGACAGUUUAUCUGGGGCGGAUGCCUCAUAAAAAGUAACUGAGGCGUGCAAAGGUUCCCUCAGUCUGGACGGAAAUCAGACAUUGAGUGUAAAGGCAAAAGGGAGCUUGACUGCAAGACCUACAAGUCGAGCAGGAACGAAAGUUGGCCUUAGUGAUCCGACGAUGCCGUGUGGAAGGGACGUCGCUCAACGGAUAAAAGUUACUCUAGGGAUAACAGGCUGAA
rnacentral:rRNA from 1 species